rnacentral:rRNA from 1 species
GGGGAUCGAAGACGAUCAGAUACCGUCGUAGUCUUAACCAUAAACUAUGCCGACUAGGGAUCGGACGGUGUUAUUUCUUGACCCGUUCGGCACCUUACGAGAAAUCAAAGUGCUUGGGCUCCAGGGGGAGUAUGGUCGCAAGGCUGAAACUUAAAGAAAUUGACGGAAGGGCACCACCAGGGGUAAACGGACUGUUUAGCCGCAGUAAACUCUGCUCCUGAAAGCCGCCCGAAAGGGUCAGGUGGUUGCUCCUGGCAUCGUGCCGAACACAUGGCUAGUCUCCUCGGAGGCGACACCCUCAAAUUGCGGGAAACUCCUAAAGCUCACGCUCCAAAGCCGUCUGUGAAAGCAGUUCGGUGGCCAGGUUAAUUGCCUCGGGUAUUGGAACAACGCGUGAGAUGCAACAAUGGACAAUCCGCAGCCAAGCCUCUAAGUCUCUUGUGACUCUGGGUGAACGUGCUUCACCCAGUUUGCUCAAGGCGGGAGGACUCACAGAUCGAAACCGGAGUCACGACCUCUGGUCAUGACUCCGGUGGUUCGGCGUCUCGAUUCUGCUGAGUCCUGGUUCGCGUCCCAGAGCCAAACUGCCUCUGGGUCGUGGAUCUGCCUCUGAAUUCACGGCAUCUGCCUCCGAAUUCAGGGCAACUGCCUAACAGGCGGUUGGUUCUGAUUCAGGACCAGCCUGAGUCACGAGAGAUAUGGGGAAGGUUCAGAGACUUGACGGGGGUGGGUGAAUUCACUGCUGCUGCAACAAUAUAAAUGGGGAGAGAUCCUCUUCUUCUUCUUCCAACAACCAAACCAAACCACAACUGAACCUCAAACAAGACCCACAAGCUCUUCAAAAUGUCCCAUUCUUCUCCCUCUCCUGUUCUCGCUAACGGGAGCGAGUAUGUCGUGAGGGAUGGAGGUUCGUCUGGUCAGGCAUAAGGAACGAGAAUGCAGUGGCGUGGUUUGCUUAAGAUAAAGUCCGGGCUUAUGGGAAACCAUAGGUAGCUUUGCAAUCGAAUGCAUGGCCCCAAAACGGGAGCCUGCGGCUUAAUUUGACUCAACACGGGGAAACUCACCAGGUCCAGACACAACGAGGAUUGACAGAUUGAGAGCUCUUUCUUGAUUUUGUGGGUGGUGGUGCAUGGCCGUUCUUAGUUGGUGGAGUGAUUUGUCUGCUUAAUUGCGAUAACGAACGAGACCUUAACCUGCUAAAUAGUCCGUAUUACCCCGGUAGUACGCCGACUUCUUAGAGGGACUAUCGGCUCAAGCCGAUGGAAGUUUGAGGCAAUA